AAGUCGUAACAAGGUCUCCGUAGGUGAACCUGCGGAGGGAUCAUUAACAAAGCAAGGUGUUCAGGAAAGAGGCGACUGCGUAGCAGGAGCGUCUUUUCUGAAUUCCCAAAAUCAUGUUGCCACCGAUGGUUGGAUUUCAAUUGUUGGUGGCACACAUUUAUAUCUACAUUUCAACAACAACCACUACAACGAUAAACAAACAACAACUUUUAACAAUGGAUCUCUUGGCUCUU
rnacentral:misc_RNA from 1 species